GAAAUGCGAUACGCAAUGCGAAUUGCAGAACCGUGAGUCAUCAGAUUUUUGAACGCAAGUGGCGAUAGCUUCGGCUAUCAUGUUUGUUUCAGUGUGUUCGGUUAAUUACAUCGUAGAAUUUAAUGUGGCUGAGGCGACUCUUCCACUGAAUACGAAGCAGUGUCAGGCACUAUGACAUUAGACGAACCAGUCACUAAUUUGGUGAUAAUCGGCUAGGGGUCGAGUGCUUGUAAAUCACGGCUUGAGUAAUUUCUAUCCACUCAUGACACCUGAAAUAAGCAAGAUUACCCGCUGAACUUAA
rnacentral:misc_RNA from 1 species